GUACACGCUGUGACUAGCAUAUCAAUAAGCGGAGGAAAAGAAACUAACAAGGAUUCCCUUAGUAACGGCGAGUGAAGCGGGAAGAGCUCAAAUUUGAAAUCUUGCAAGGUUUACCUUUCACGAAUUGUAGUUUAAAGAAGUGUUUUCUGCUGAAGUUUUGGUAAAAGUUCUUUGGAAUAGGACAUCAUAGAGGGUGAGAAUCCCGUAUUUGACCAUUAUCUUCAGCUUUGUGAUACACCUUUCAAAGAGUCGGGAUUGUUUGGGAAUGCAGUCCAAAAUGGGUGGUAAAUUUCAUCUAAAGCUAAAUAUUGGCGAGAGACCGAUAGCGAACAAGUACCGUGAGGGAAAGAUGAAAAGAACUUUGAAAAGAGAGUUAAAUAGUACGUGAAAUUGUCAAAAGGGAAGCGUUUAACACCAGUGUUGUUUUCUGAAAAUCAACCUCUGUUAGCUUUAUGCAUGUUUGUUUAGACCUAAUCAGCUAUCUUGCAUGUUCUAUUGUUUGCAGUGGUGCACUUUUCAGUUUACAGGUCAACAUCAGUUUUUUUUACCGUAAAAAGUUAAAGAAAGGUAGCUCAUGGCUCCGGUCGUGAGUGUUAUAGUCUUUUUCCUAUGCGGUAGGAGAGACUGAGGUCUGCAGUGUAGGCUAUUUGGCUAGAUACUCAGGUGCUAUGUGAUACCAUUUCAUAAACAACUUGUUGAUUAUGUUUUGUCUAUUGCAUACUCGCUUGUACUAUCAUACCUACGCUUAGGAUGUUGAGUAGCGACAUACGCAC
rnacentral:rRNA from 1 species